AGAGUUUGAUCCUGGCUCAGGAUGAACGCUAGCUACAGGCUUAACACAUGCAAGUCGCGGGGCAGCAUAGUGAUUGCUUGCAAUUACUGAUGGCGACCGGCGCACGGGUGAGUAACGCGUAUCCAACCUACCCUUUACUACGGGAUAACCCGGCGAAAGUCGGACUAAUACCGUAUGUAGUCCAUUGACGGCAUCCGAUAUCGGUAGGGGUUCUGAGAGGAAGGUCCCCCACACUGGAACUGAGACACGGUCCAGACUCCUACGGGAGGCAGCAGUGAGGAAUAUUGGUCAAUGGGCGUAAGCCUGAACCAGCCAAGUAGCGUGCAGGAUGACGGCCCUAUGGGUUGUAAACUGCUUUUAUGCGGGGAUAAAAGAGCCCACGUGUGGGUUUUUGCAGGUACCGCAUGAAUAAGGACCGGCUAAUUCCGUGCCAGCAGCCGCGGUAAUACGGAAGGUCCAGGCGUUAUCCGGAUUUAUUGGGUUUAAAGGGAGCGUAGGCCGCCUCUUAAGCGUGUUGUGAAAUGCGGGUGCUCAACAUCCGACUUGCAGCGCGAACUGGGGGGCUUGAGUGCGCCGAAAGUAGGCGGAAUUCGUGGUGUAGCGGUGAAAUGCUUAGAUAUCACGAAGAACUCCGAUUGCGAAGGCAGCUUACUGUAGCGCAACUGACGCUGAUGCUCGAAAGCGUGGGUAUCGAACAGGAUUAGAUACCCUGGUAGUCCACGCGGUAAACGAUGGAUGCUCGUUGUUGGCCCUUAUGGUCAGUGACCAAGCGAAAGCGUUAAGCAUCCCACCUGGGGAGUACGCCGGCAACGGUGAAACUCAAAGGAAUUGACGGGGGCCCGCACAAGCGGAGGAACAU
rnacentral:rRNA from 1 species